rnacentral:rRNA from 1 species
AUGCACUACCCUGAUCCCUCUCUUCCUUCUACUAUAAAUCCAUGGCCUGCUCAGCACAAACUUCAUCUCAUCUGUAAACAACAUCACACUCUACAACACACUUUCAGACUUUCGGAGCCAGCCAGGAACACAUCAGACUCUACCAUGAUCCAUCCAAAGAAGCUUGCUCAGCUGGCCAAGAAGUGCCAGCGGAUGUUGGCAGCCGGGACCGAUGCUCGCCACCGGCAGCAUGCCUCAGACAUGGUCGACGAUGAUCGCUGCAGCACAGCGUCAUCUGUGGUUGCCGAUGAGGGCCAUUGCAUGGUGUACAGCACCGACGGAACACGGUUUGAGGUCCCUCUGGCGUACCUCGGGACAACGGUCUUCGCUGAGCUCCUGAGGAUGUCUGAGGAGGAGUUUGGGUUCGCAAGCGGCAGCGAUGGAGGCAGGAUCACGCUGCCCUGUGACACCACGGUGAUGGAGUACGUCUUGUGCCUUAUCAGGAGAGAGGCCUCUGAGGAGGUUGAGAGGGCAUUCUUGAGCUCUAUUGCUGAGCAUUGCCACAACUACAGUGCUAGUUGUGUGGCGCCAUCGAUGGGACUCAGCCAUCAAUUUGCUCUUUGUACUUAG